GUGGGCAAGGGGCACAGGGGAGGGGGGCCCAGUGCCAGCAGCUUAAAAGUGCCCCUGUGGUAGUGCAUGAUGCCAGAGGCUGGCUCCAGUGAGUUAAGAAGCAGUGACACUCCCAACCUUCCCCCAAAAUGGGCUGGUCCCCACUCCAGGCCCCAGGGAGCCCCACCUGCACCAGACUCCAAGAGAGCCUCCCUUCGACCAUCCCUCCCUGGAGUUCCCGACAGAAGACAGAGGUCCCCCCUGCCCAGCCGGGGGACAUGGACUAAAGAAACGCUCAUCCUGCUGGGGAGCUGGGAUCCCCCCUGAGCUGCCAAGAGCCAGCACUGAGUCACAGCCAGCUGUAGGAGACACCAAGGAAAGCCAGAAGGGAGAAGCAGCCCCUGGGCAGAGCUGCAGAGCAAAGCCAGGGUGCCCUGGGCAGUGCCUCCUCCCACCCAGGCGAAGCCGUGCAGCUGUGUCCCCCAGCCUGAGGUGCAGUGCUGCAUCUCUGGUCAGUUGGGAGUCUGAGAUGAAGCACUGUAGCUCGGGAAGGGAGAAGUUGUUCUCCAGCCGCAGCCUGGAGCCGUAAGUAGUGAGUGGGGGCAUGGGGGAGCUAGGAGGGGGGCACAGAGGGCCUGCCAGGCUCCGUACUGUUCUACACAUGCCACCUGCCGCCUGGUGACUUGGGGUGUGUCCCAAUUCCUCCAUGUGCCCCACAUGUGCCUGGGCAACACCGUGCCCAUUCGCCCCACCCUGCUCUCUUCCCAAGCCCGCAGCAGACACUGGUGCCAGCAUGUACAUUCUUGAGUUUUUCAGACACAGCUUCAGGAUCCUUCUCAAUGCUGAGACCUGGACAGCCACAAUUAGGGAUUGGGGGAUGAGAUCCACUUGUCUAUGAUUCAGACAAUUCCUAAAAAUCCUUCCGGCUCCCCAAACACACAUGCACAUACACACAAAGAAAUCCUGGGCUUGGAGUCAAACUCCCC